UGCUUAAUGCGGGAAUCGAACCCGGGUCAAAUUGGUCGAAAACCAACAGUUUAAACCAUCUUUCCACGACCCC